rnacentral:rRNA from 1 species
UGAGUACGAGACGCUAAGGCGUCGAAGUAGUGGAUGUCAUACUUCCAAGAAAAGCUUGCACUGUCAUAAAUAAAAAGUGCCUGUACCAUAACCGACACAGGUGGGUAAGUAGAGUAUACUAAGGGGCGCGAGAUAACUCUCUCUAAGGAACUCGGCAAAAUAACUCCGUAACUUCGGGAGAAGGAGUGCCUUAUUCUUAAGGUUGCAAUAACAAGAUCCAAGCAACUGUUUAUCAAAAACACAGGUCUCCGCUAAGUCGUAAGACGAUGUAGGGGGGCUGACGCCUGCCCAGUGCCAGAAGGUUAAAGAAGUCGGUUAGCAAUAGCAAAGCUGGUAACUGAAGCCCUGGUGAACGGCGGCCGUAACGAUAACGGUCCUAAGGUAGCGAAAUUCCUUGUCGGGUAAGUUCCGACCCGCACGAAAGGCGUAAUGAUUUGGAUGCUGUCUCGGAGAGGGGCUCGGUGAAAUAGACUUGUCUGUGAAGAUGCGGACUACCUGCACCAGGACAGAAAGACCCUAUGAAGCUUUACUGUAACUUGAAAUUGAAAUUGGACUUUAUUCGCGCAGUAUAGGUGGGAGGCGUUGAUUAUAAUCUUGUGGGAUUAUUGGAGCCAUCAGUGAGAUACCACUCUUGUAAUGUUAGAUUUCUAACUUUGAAUCAUUAUCUGGUCAAAGGACAGUUUCAGGCGGGCAGUUUGACUGGGGCGGUCGCCUCCUAAACGGUAACGGAGGCGUACAAAGGUUUCCUCUGAACGGUUAGAAAUCGUAUCUAGAGUGUAAAGGCAUAAGGAAGCUUGACUGUGAGACCUACAAGUCGAGCAGGGACGAAAGUCGGUCUUAGUGAUCUGACGGUACUGAGUGGAAAGGCCGUCACUCAACGGAUAAAAGUUACUCUAAGGAUAACAGGCUGAUCUCCCCCAAGAGUUCACAUCGACGGGGAGGUUUGGCACCUCGAUGUCGGCUCAUCGCAUCCUGGGGCGGUAGUACGUCCCAAGGGUUGGGCUGUUCGCCCAUGAAAGCGGUACGCGAGCUGGGUUCAGAACGUCGUGAGACAGUUCGGUCCAUAUCCGGUGUAGGCGCUAGAAUAUUGAGAGGAGCCUUCUUUAGUACGAGAGGACCGAGAAGGACAUACCUCUGGUGCACCAGUUAUCGUGCCAACGGUAAACGCUGGGUAGCUAUGUAUGGAGUGGAUAACCGCUGAAAGCAUCUAAGUGGGAAGCCCACCUCAAGAUAAGUAUUCUCAUCACGUAAGUGAGUAAGGUCACGGUAAUACUAACCGUUUGAUAGGCAUUAAGUGUAAGUACAGUAAUGUAUGUGCUGAGAUGUCCUAAUAGACCGAGGACUU